UGGUGGUACUUGCGGUACAUAUGCUUCUGGCUCAGGACCUCGAGCAGCGCGAUCAAUCGCAGCCCGUCGCUAAGGGCGCGUCCUCGGCUAGGUCUUUCUCGGUCACCGGCAUCUCGAGGGGAGACGACCGCGGCUGCCCACUCUGAAGAGUGAGAGAACUCCACAAUCUGACAAGACCACUACUACUGACUAGCAAGACUAAUGCAACACUGAGAUUUUUGGCUAAAGAAAACCCAGCCCUACACUGCUGUUCCGGUGGAUCUUAUCCCACACUUUCAAUGUGCUGAGCACUGGAAUUUACAUCUCAGCAUGUGAAUUCACUUAAAAUCACCGAAAUGGCUGCCAAUCAUUUCCAAAGAGGGUUGCCUCUAAUUUUUCAUUACAAUAUA